rnacentral:rRNA from 1 species
UACGUAGGGGGCAAGCGUUGUCCGGAUUUAUUGGGCGUAAAGAGCGUGUAGGCGGCUAGGUAGGUCCGUUGUGAAAACUCGAGGCUCAACCUCGAGACGUCGAUGGAAACCAUCUAGCUAGAGUCCGGAAGAGGAGAGUGGAAUUCCUGGUGUAGCGGUGGAAUGCGCAGAUAUCAGGAGGAACACCAAUAGCGAAGGCAGCUCGCUGGGACGUUACUGACACUGAGGCGCGAAAGCGUGGGGAGCGAACAGG